AUGCGUCUUAGGCAAAAAAGAUGUCAUCUAUUGGAGGGUCCAGGCACUGAAAAUCCUCCUGGGCCCAAGGAGGGCGAAGUAAUUGUUUCUACUGAUCAUAUAGCCCGGGGGUUCACCCCGCCCGGUUCAAAAUUCUUCCGCGACGUGCUACACUUUUUUCAGCUCCAUCCUCAAGAUAUUGGACCCAAUUCUGUUUCCAACAUCUGCAACUUCCAAGUUUUUUGCAAGGUUUACCUUCAACAAGAGCCCAUUGUCCAACUGUUCAGGGAAUUCUAUUACUUGAACCGGCAGACUGAAUUCACAGACAUGCCCGGUCUGGAGUUACGUGGAAUUUCAAUUCAGGGGCGGAAAGAAGCCACCUUCCCAGCCGCUAAGCUGCCUAGUCAUCCUAAGGACUAG
rnacentral:rRNA from 1 species